GAUGAACGCUGGCGGCGUGCCUAACACAUGCAAGUCGAACGUGAAGCCUCGAAUGAUUACUUCGGUUUGAUUUCUUGGUGGAAAGUGGCGAACGGGUGAGUAACACGUAGGUAACCUGCCUCGAAGUGGGGGACAACCAUUGGAAACGAUGGCUAAUACCGCAUAGUCCUGUAGAUGUGAGAACUUCUAUGGGUAAAGCUCAGGCGCUUCGAGAGGGGCCUGCGUCCGAUUAGCUUGUUGGUGGGGUAAUGGCCUACCAAGGCGACAAUCGGUAGCUGGUCUGAGAGGACGAUCAGUCACACGGGAACUGAGACACGGUCCCGACUCCUACGGGGGGCAGCAGUGAGGAAUAUUGCACAAUGGGGGAAACCCUGAUGCAGCAACGCCGCGUGGAGGAUGAAGGCUUUUGAGUCGUAAACUCCUUUUUUGAGGGAAGAGUAAGGACGGUACCUCAAGAAUAAGUCACGGCUAACUACG
rnacentral:rRNA from 1 species